UACAGAGGUCUCAAGCGUUGUUCGGAUUCAUUGGGCGUAAAGGGCGCGUAGGCUGCGGGGCAAGUCGGGUGUGAAAUCUCAGAGCUCAACUCUGAAACUGCACUCGAUACUGCUUGCUCGAGGACUGGAGAGGAGAUUGGAAUUCACGGUGUAGCAGUGAAAUGCGUAGAUAUCGUGAGGAAGACCAGUGGCGAAGGCGGAUCUCUGGACAGUUCCUGACGCUGAGGCGACGGAAGGCCCAGGGGAGCAAACGGG
rnacentral:rRNA from 1 species